rnacentral:rRNA from 1 species
UACGAAGGGGGCUAGCGUUGCUCGGAAUCACUGGCGUAAAGGGUGCGUAGGCGGGUCUUUAAGUCAGGGUGAAAUCCUGGAGCUCAACUCCAGAACUGCCUUUGAUACUGAGGAUCUUGGGUUCGGGAGAGGUGAGUGGAACUGCGAGUGUAGAGGUGAAAUUCGUAGAUAUUCGCAAGAACACCAGUGGCGAAGGCGGCUCACUGGCCCGAUACUGACGCUGAGGCACGAAAGCGUGGGAGCAAACAGG